UGGGGAAUAUUGCGCAAUGGACGAAAGUCUGACGCAGCAACGCCGCGUGAAGGAUGAAGGUCUUCGGAUUGUAAACUUCUGUUGAUUAGAAAGAAACGACAAAGAGUAAUAUGCUUUGUUAAUGACGUUACUAAUAAAGAAAGCCCCGGCUAACUUCGUGCCAGCAGCCGCGGUAAUACGAAGGGGGCAAGCGUUAUUCGGAAUGAUUGGGCGUAAAGGGCGUGUAGGCGGUGUAAUAAGUUUUUUGUUUAAUUUCUCGGCUCAACCGGGAGUAUGCAAAAAAUACUGUUAUGCUAGAGUAUGAUAGAGGAAGAUGGAAUUCUCGGAGUAGCGGUCAAAUGCGUAGAUCUCGAGAGGAACGCCAAUGGCGAAAGCAGUCUUCUGGGUCAUUACUGACACUGAAACGCGAAGGCGUGGGGAGCAAACAGG
rnacentral:rRNA from 1 species